rnacentral:rRNA from 1 species
CCGGCCCAACUCCUCGGGAAGGCAGCAGUGGGGAAUAUUGGACAAUGGGCGCAAGCCUGAUCCAGCAAUGCCGCGUGUGUGAAGAAGGCCUGAGGGUUGUAAAGCACUUUCAAUUGUGAAGAAGGGUAUCAAUUUAAUAAAUUGGUACAUUGACGUUAACAAUAGAAGAAGCACCGGCUAACUCUGUGCCAGCAGCCGCGGUAAUACAGAGGGUGCAAGCGUUAAUCGGAAUUACUGGGCGUAAAGCGCGCGUAGGUGGUUUGAUAAGUUGGAUGUGAAAUCCCCGGGCUUAACCUGGGUCGGUCAUUCAAAACUGUCAGACUAGAGUAUGGUAGAGGGUAGUGGAAUUUCUAGUGUAGCGGUGAAAUGCGUAGAUAUUAGAAGGAACACCAGUGGCGAAGGCGACUGCCUGGACUGAUACUGACACUGAGGUGCGAAAGCGUGGGUAGCGAACAGGAUUAGAUACCCUGGUAGUCCACGCCGUAAACGAUGACAACUAGACGUUGGGUUCCUUAGAGGACUUAGUGUCGAAGCUAACGCGUUAAGUUGUCCGCCUGGGGAGUACGGUCGCAAGAUUAAAACUCAAAGGAAUUGACGGGGGCCCGCACAAGCGGUGGAGCAUGUGGUUUAAUUCGAUGCAACGCGAAGAACCUUACCAUCCCUUGACAUCCAGAGUAUCACCAAGAGAUUGAGGAGUGCCUUCGGGAACUCUGAGACAGGUGCUGCAUGGCUGUCGUC